GUGCAGUACAGUGGUCUGUAUACUAGGGUCUGCAGAUGUGUCCGGUAGUACAUGGUGGUCUGGUCUAGUACAGAGUGGUCUGGUAGUAGAGUUGUCUGGUAGUACCUGGUGGUCUGGUAGUACAGAGUGGUCUGGUAGUACAGAGUGGUCUGGUAGUACCUGGUGGUCUGGUAGUACCUGGUGGUCUGGUAGUCCGGUGGUCUGGUAGUGUACAGAGUGGCUGUGGGUUUAGUACGUGGCAGUCUGGUAGUACCUGGCAGUCUGGUAGUUACCUGGCUGAGGUCUGGUAGUACAGAGUGGUUCUGGCUCAGUACGAGUGGUCUGCUAGUAC
rnacentral:lncRNA from 1 species